UUCCAUCUACCCACUCUCUCUCUCACUCCUCAAACCCACGAUUCAACAUCGUCUCCCCUAAUUCCCCCCUCCCCAAUUUCCAAACCCUAGCCGCCACUCCAAGCCACCGGAAAUCAACAAUUACACGGAGAAGAGAAUUCUGUCAGAUUUUUCUCACUCGCUCGACGCAACAACGUUUUAAUCGGUGGAAGACUUGCAAUCAACAACAAGGUAGGGUUCCUGAUUUUGGGUUUUUCAAUUGGGUUUUUCUUCAGUAUUGAUUGAUUAGUUUGCUAAAUCGGAGCAACUACACGGAGAAGACGAAUUCUGCCGGAUUUUGCUCACUCGCUCGACGCAGCAACGUUUUAAUCGGUGGAAGACUUGCAAUCAAUAACAAGUUCCUGGUCUGUAUCACAGAACAAACAAUGUCUAAGAGAGGAAGACUGUUCAAAAGCCAACCAACCCAGAAUGCAGAUGGGCCACCAUGAUUCGAGAAACUCUACAACACUGAAAGAUAUAGAGAAUGACAAGGAGAAGCAUACGUGGAAGAGAAAAUAUUGACAUUUUUUAGUUUGUUUUCAAGAUAUAUUGUUUUUUAUACUUGCUUUAAGUCGUACGUUAUUUAGUAGUUAAGUAUUACAUUGUUUUGGAGUU